rfam:Oryza glaberrima chromosome 1 Oglab01_0035_11, whole genome shotgun sequence.
AAUAUAUGACGCCGUUGACUUUUUGUCCAACGUUUGACCAUUCGUCUUAUUCAAAAAAUCUAUGUAAUUAUCAUUUAUUUUACUGUGACUUGAUUCAUCAUCAAAUGUCCUUUAAACAUGACACAAAUAUUUUUAUAUUUGCACAUAUAUUUUAAAUAAAAUGAAUGGUCAAACGUUGGUCGAGUCGAAAAGUACCACAAGAUUCACC